UGUUCUAUAUAAUGAUA
rnacentral:sRNA from 1 species